UACCAGCACCCCGAGUGGUCGGGACGUUUUAUUGGGCCUAAAGCAUCCGUAGCCGGUUCUACAAGUCUUCCGUUAAAUCCAACUGCUUAACAGAUGGGCCGCGGAGGAUACUACAGAGCUAGGAGGCAGGAGAGGCAAGCGGUACUCAGUGGGUAGGGGUAAAAUCCGUUGAUCCAUUGAAGACCACCAGUGGCGAAGGCGGCUUGCCAGAAUGCGCUCGACGGUGAGGGAUGAAAGCUGGGGGGAGCAAACCGG
rnacentral:rRNA from 1 species